rnacentral:tmRNA from 1 species
GGGGACGACAUGGUUUCGACGCCGGUUACAAACCCAGAGGUGCAUGCCGAGAGGGCGGUAACUCUCGUACUUCAAAUACCGCAAAACAUAGUCGCAAACGACGAAACUUACGCUUUAGCAGCCUAACGGCCGCUUAGCCACUCACGCUAAGGUGCUUACCCCGCGGUACUGAGUGUCAUUCAGAAUAAGCUAGUUGGCCGGAUCGCCUUGCUCCGGCUUGCGAAACCUUAAAGGCUAGCCUUCGGCACCCUGCCCCUCGGGUCGCUUCGGGUUAAAGCAAUUGAGGGAAUCUAAGCAUGUAGAGCCGAUGGCAGAGGACUGACGGACGCGGGUUCAAUUCCCGCCGUCUCCACCA